rnacentral:lncRNA from 1 species
UUUCUCAGAUGAAGAUGAGCUGUUGGAAUGAACAGCUGCAGCAAUCUCUAAAAUACUCCACUCCUGCAUAGGAUAUUGGUAAUCUGUGAAUGAUGUUAACAUCUGUAAAAUGGCCCAUUUAACCAAAAGGCACUGAUCCACCAGCUGUGGGGAGCUCACAGAAUCACAGAAUGACCAGGAUGGAAGAGACCUUCAAGAUCAUUGAGUCCAACCCAGCCCCAACACCUCAACUCAACCCUGGCACCCAGUGCCACAUCCAGGCUUUGUUAAACACACCCAGGGAUGGGGACUCCACCACCUCCCCAGGCAGCCACUCCAGAACUUUAUCACCUUUCUGUAAAAAACUUCUUCCUAAUAUCCUUAUUUCCCUUGAUGCAGCUUGAGACCGUGUUCUCUGUUCUGUCAGUUGCUGCUCUCCCCACUAAAUUCUGUGUUUGCCUCUCCAAAAUUAGUUUGUGGCAUGGCAAAGAGGCUGAGGUUAGACAGCUCCCUGCUCUGCUCAAAAACAAAGCAUAAAUUAUUGCAGGACAAACAUCAGGCAAAACCUGGGUUUUCAUGCUUCCUCACCUCCUCACCAGAAAGAGGUUUUACAAAUGAGGUCAGUUCUACUCAGAUACUUGAAAAAAGCCUGACUUUGAAUUUUUGAACCUAUCUGUAGGCUUGGCUACCUCUUUCCAUGCCUAAAUAAAAAUGAAACCUCUUCUGUUAAUCUACCCUUGAGUAAAGUUUUUACCUGAAUGGGAUGUAAUUUUAGAUGUAGGACAGUUCUGAAAAUAAUUGUCACCCUUGUCCAACAUUUCAAGACCUUUAAGGCAGCCAGGCCCUAUACAAGUAGUGAGGUGAGGAAAAAUAUUUGCAAAUAAACUAGAAUAUUUUAUUUUUAAAAUCUAAUAUUCUGAAAUAUUUUCAGGGAUUCUUAUCAUUGCUUGUCCUUUGAAUGUACAGAUGUUGCUUCACUGAAGUUGGUUAAACUUGGGAAAUCCAAAUGCAAACAGUCUUAAGGAAAAAAUACUACAAAUUCUUUUACUGCCAUACUCCCUGUGAAAUCCCUGGAGAACAUUAUGUGUUUGUAAUGCAAAUACAAACUUGGAGUCUGUAUUUGUACCAUCUAAGUGCACUAAUUAAUCUUACUCAUAUGGGCAGGGACAAUGGGAGUCCUAAUAUGAUUAGGGAUAAUAUUAGAGAAAAAACCCUACAAAAUUCUAGUCACCAAUAAAAACACUCCAUUUUCAAAAUCAGGCCUCAGUAUUGCCAAUUUCAAGGUCAUUUAAUGAAACAUGUUUUUCCCAGAUUACUUACUGGAGUUUUAAAUAGAAUAGCAAUUCUAUACUCUUCAUUUUACAAGUUCAUUCCUUGCAGGUAUCAAAUAAUUUCUUUAUGAGAGGGUUUCCUGCUUUUCUUCCUUUUUAAUUUUUUUGGUUUUUUUUUCAUAGCUUACAAGCUUCUGAACAAUUUAAGAGGAUGAUUCUUUAGUAAUACAAUUUCCGUAAUUAAAGACCAUUUAAAAAUAACUUGUACUCUGCCUCCUGGACCUUUGUUAAAACUUUCCAGGAAAACCAUUUGGAGAGUGUUAUACUUAGAGCUGAACUGUUUUUUCUCACCCUUUAAAACCAAAAUUUUCUCAGAAAAUUAAGUAGCAUCCAUCAAGGUGGUUGACACAGCUAUGUGCCAAGGCUAAGGAAAAUAUUUAAUUCAUUGCUCAUUCAAACUAUCUGUGCCUCUAAAACAGAAGGGCUGAGGGGAAUUAAGGACACUCAGGACUUCUUGCAGGUGCUCUGCAUCUCUCUGAAUCAAUCCCAUGUUUUGUAAAAGCAAUGCUAGAUGUAUUCAAAUUUAAAGCACAGUUAAAUCUUCUGGAGAAAUAAUCCUUCUUUGAAAUAGUGCCAAUGAGAGCACUGCAAUAUAGCUUAAUAGAAGAUAUUAUUUAUGGGGCAUUAAAGGCAUUUACUUAAUUCUUGCAAGCCAAACAUCAAACCAGGCAGCAUGCAGGAAAAAACCUGAGGAUCUGAUCCAAAGUUGAGUAACAUCUACAGCUGUUAAUGACAAUGGGUCAUAGAUUACUCCCUGUGGAGUAAAUCAAUUAUAGGCUUUUUCUGAAUCACUGACUUCUUUCCACACCUCUGGGCCAAAUCCUGCUUGCAGGACAUGAAAAAAUGCACGAGAUCCAAAUCAGUGGAAAGAGGGCUGUAUAGGCAGCCUGACAUCUGCAGAGAGCAAGAAGAAUUUGGCCCAAAUGCUCCUGUUAAGGCAGGUAGAAAUUAUCACAUUCAGAGGUUAAUCAAAUAAUCAUUUUUCAAAUGCAAAUCAGAAACCAUAGAAAAUGCAAGCAACACCAAACAAUGAGAAAUGGCAAGAUCCCAAAACACCAUUCAUUCCUUAUGUGAGAUGUGAGAAAGUAUUAACAUAAUUCAGUAUGACAUCCAUACCAGAUGUUGGCAAUCACCUACAGAACACCAGACACGUUCAUGCACAGUCUGGAAACAAGUGGGAAGAAGAAGAAAAAUGAAAAAAAAACCCACAAAAAAAAAAAAAAAAAAAAAAGAAAAG